UACGUAGGGUGCAAGCGUUGUCCGGAAUUAUUGGGCGUAAAGAGCUCGUAGGCGGUUUGUUGCGUCGGCUGUGAAAUCCCGAGGCUCAACCUCGGGUCUGCAGUCGAUACGAGCAAACUAGAGUGUUGCAGGGGAGACUGGAAUUCCUGGUGAUAGACGGUGAAAUGCGCAGAUAUCAGGAGGAACACCGGUGGCGAAGGCGGAUCUCUGGGCCAUUACUGACGUGGAGGAGCGAAAGCGUGGGGAGCGAACAGG
rnacentral:rRNA from 1 species